AAGGAAGUCACAUUCCCACAUCCCAGCCCAGCUCCAGAGUGGGAGAAAUUAAAUAAUUUGUCUGAUGAAAUGAUAGAAACAAAGUCAGGUCACAGCAAAUCAAGGAUCUAAGGGCAGCUGGGAUCAGGUGACACCAGCUGUUGCUAACCUUCCCCUUAAUGAUUAGACAGUAAGAGACACAUGGCCCUCCUUUCAUCUCUUGUCUGUCUUGGCUACUCCAGCAACACUGAAAACAUCUGUAUGUUACUAGUGACAGAGACAGAACAAUAUGAGGGAGGAAUAGCUCACUGGAUUCACUUUUCCCUACCAGGCUGUGAUGAACAAGACAGCAAUGAUGUUUGUCCCUAUGCUUUUCCUCCUUUUUAAGCCUUUGCUAUUCAGCAGCGAGUGUAGCAGCAGACAUUACUGGGCUUUAAAGCAUCAAGUAUUAGCAGAGGUGGUACUUAAAUACACUCUCUUUCUCAUAUGUGCUCUCUCUUCCCAAGAUCUGCUUGGUGCUGAACUGGAAAGAGCAGAAGACUACAUGAAUCUGCCGCUGCUCUUUGCAGAGCUGGCCUUACUCAAAGAUUUUGCUGGCUUUGUAAAUCUUUCCCAGGUGUGGCAUUCUGUUGAAGGUGACAAGGCUGCUAUCUUCUGGCUCCUCAUGCUGCUGAAAGCCUGGGCUGCUUUUAUGUUUUCAGGCUUUGAGCUUUCGGUAAGAUUAGCACCAGAAAGGAACAGAGGAAAUUCACGGGUACAGGACUAA
ensembl:lncRNA